ACUGUUUUUGUAAUGUACCCCACUGCGCACUCACUAGUAAAGUAUGCCUUUUCUGAGUAAAAUGCGCUCUUGUGAGUUGUGAAGGAAGUGAACCCUACUCUCCCCUUCUCUAUAAAGCUGCUUGCAAGAUUAUAUAUGUUAAAGUGGUCCAUGAGUUUUUGUAUGGGCAUCAUCUCUCUCACUAUAUUUUCAGUGCAAAAAAGAAAAGAAAAGAAAAGAAAAGAAAAGAAAAGAGAGAGAGAAAGGAAAGGGAUGUAAGUGAGAUCUGAGAAGAAUUUGAAGAUGGUGUGUUGUUCAUUCUUUGCAAGUCCUGGUCAUGCUAUUCCACAGCUUUCUUGAACUUUCUUUUACUGCCUUUUCAAAUCUCUCUCUAGAUUCAAUAGGUAGAACUUUGGAAGCUCAAGAAAGCUGUGGGAGAACAUGGCAUUUUUCAGGAUUUUUUUUCCUUUCUUUUUUCUUCUUUGGAGUCUGUUCUGCUAUUUCUUGGCUCUUUCCUGGAAAAAGAUUAAGGAUCUCUCUCUCCAAUAGUCGAUGAGAAGAAUUGAAACUGCUUCCACCAUCUGUGUCUUUCUGCAUGAGUCAAGUGCCAAUUUUCUGUUGCUGCUGUGACACUUCCUUGGCAGGUUAUGAUGAAAUGGGUAUAUAAGCAAUUAAUGACAUUAGGCAGCCAAAGGAAAUUAAAAAUUUAGCAGCUGCAUCACAAGCCAUUUCAACUAAACUUGUUAUGCUUUGUCAAAUAGCUUUUGAAAACCUCAUCAUUGCAGAUGAAAUCAAUAAUGGGGCUACGAUGAGGAAAUGCUAUUUUCUUUUCUUUUCUUUUCUUUUCUACCCACAAUAAUUUAAAAAGUAUAGAGAGGUCCUGUGAUGAAAGAAGAUGAAUGACCAGACCAGGCUAUGUAGUGGUGUUUAAAUGGAUGAAAUGAUGAUUAAAGUUGGAGGAAGAAAAAGUACUAUUAGAGAAAAAUAAUGUAGCUUUGUUUAGGGAAUCUUUCCUUAAUACAAUUGAUGAAGUGAAAGCUCAUGGGCUAAUGUUUAGCCAAGGAUAUGUAACAAUAUAUGCUGAUGAAGGGCUAGGUCCACAAAAAAAAAUUUAAAAGAAAUAAAAAAAAGAAAAGAAAAGAAACCUAGUUUAUAAAAUAGGUCAGACAGUGGAGCAUGGCAUAUCUGUACACAGUAAUAGAGAUAGAAUUCAGUGAGUGUAUUUUGCUAAUAUUAGACCCUUAAUAGUUAUCUCUCUUUCAGGAUAUCGCCUAUUCUAUUAGUAUCCAAUGAUGCAACAUGAAAUUCAAGUACCAAACAGCCGCUAUUUGAUAUUUAGGAUAGAAUAGAAAAAUAAUGAUAAAAGGUAAAAACCCACAAAGAAAAAAAUGGAAAAAAAAAAAAAGAAAUUAUUUCA